AACGCGAAGAACCUUACCAAAUCUUGACAUCCCAAUGACCCAUUGUGUAAAGCAAUGCUCUACUUCGGUAGCAUUGGAGACAGGUGGUGCAUGGUUGUCGUCAGCUCGUGUCGUGAGAUGUUGGGUUAAGUCCCGCAACGAGCGCAACCCCUAUUUUUAGUUGCCAUCAGGUAAUGCUGGGCACUCUAAAGAGACUGCCGGAGACAAUCCGGAGGAAGGUGGGGAUGAUGUCAAAUCAUCAUGCCCUUUAUGAUUUGGGCUACAAACGUGCUACAAUGGUCGGUACAACAGGUUGCUAAGUCGCAAGAUGGAGCCAAUCCCGUAAAGCCGAUCCCAGUUCGAAUUGGGGGCUGCAACUCGCCCCCAUGAAGUUGGAGUUGCUAGUAAUCGCGAAUCAGCAUGUCGCGGUGAAUGCGUUCCCGGGCCUGUACACACCG
rnacentral:rRNA from 1 species